rnacentral:tRNA from 1 species
UUUUUAUGGACUUUUAAUUAAUUCACUUAACAUAGAUAAAGUGCUCUACUAAGAUAAUGUG